UACGUAGGGCGCAAGCGUUAUCCGGAAUUAUUGGGCGUAAAGAGCUCGUAGGCGGUUUGUCGCGUCUGCCGUGAAAGUCCGGGGCUCAACUCCGGAUCUGCGGUGGGUACGGGCAGACUAGAGUGCUGUAGGGGAGACUGGAAUUCCUGGUGUAGCGGUGAAAUGCGCAGAUAUCAGGAGGAACACCGGUGGCGAAGGCGGGUCUCUGGGCAGUAACUGACGCUGAGGAGCGAAAGCGUGGGGAGCAAACAGG
rnacentral:rRNA from 1 species